rnacentral:lncRNA from 1 species
GGGACAACAGCAACGGAGAGAGGGGACAACGGCGAUGGAGAGGGGGGACGCCAGCGAUGGAGAGGGGGGACGCCAGCGAUGGAGAGGGGACACUAAAGGAGGACAGUGGUGGCGGAGAGUGGGGACAACGGUGGCAGAGAGGGGACACUGAAGGAGGACAGUGGUGGCGGAGAGCAGGGACAACGGUGGCAGAGAGGGGGUUCACCAAGAUGGAGGACAACGGCGACGGAGAGAGGACACCAAAGGAGGACAACAGUGGUGGAGAGGGUGGACAACGGCGGCAGAGAGGGAACACUGAAGGAGGACAAUGGCAACAGAGAGAGGGGACAACAUUGGUGGAGAGGGGACAAUGGUGGCAGAAAGGGAGGACACCGGCGACGGAGAGGGGACACCGAAGGAGGACAAUGGUGGUAGAGAGGGUGGACAACGUUGGCAGAGAGGGGAUGCCAAGAGGGGGGACACCGGCGAUGGAGAGGGGGAACACCAAGAGGGAGGACAGCAGCGACGGAGAGGGGACACCGAAGGAGGACAACAGUGGUGGAGAGGGUGGACAACAGCGGCAGAGAGGGGACACUGAAGGAAGGACAAUGGCAGUGGAGAGGGAGGACAAUGUUGGCAGAGAGGGGCCAAUGGUGGCAGAAAGGGAGGACACCAAGAGGGGGGGAACCAAGAGGGAGGAGCAGCGACGGAGAGGGGACAGCGAAGGAGGACAAUGUUGGCGGAGAGGGGACACCAAGAGAGGGGGGACACCAGAGACAGAGAGGGGGGACACCAAGAGGGAGGAAACUUCACCUCGGGUCAGUUUGGGCGCUCACCACCACCCCAGCGAAGAGCUCAGAGGAAAAAGAGGCAGGCCAAAAAAAAAAAAAAAAAAAGUCCCCCUCCACUAAAUAAUUAGCCAGCAUUAAAAAUGAGGUUUAGCCUUGGCGAAACCGCACGGGGCUGGGAGCUGGUUGAGGCACUGGAUUUCUCAUGUUUCAAAAAAACAAAUGUCAAACUUUGGCGUGUGUUAAAACACAGCCCUGGCUC